AGAGUUUGAUCCUGGCUCAGAACGAACGCUGGCGGCAUGCUUAACACAUGCAAGUCGAACGGGAUGCUUCGGCAUUCAGUGGCGCACGGGUGAGUAACGCGUGGGAACCUGCCCUGGGGUGUGGAAUAACCAUUGGAAACGGUGGCUAAUACCGCAUACGCCCUGCGGGGGAAAGAUUUAUCGCCCUGGGAGGGGCCCGCGUCCGAUUAGCUUGUUGGUGGGGUAACGGCCUACCAAGGCGACGAUCGGUAGCUGGUCUUAGAGGAUGAUCAGCCACACUGGGACUGAGAUACGGCCCAGACUCCUACGGGAGGCAGCAGUGGGGAAUAUUGGACAAUGGGCGAAAGCCUGAUCCAGCAAUGCCGCGUGAGUGAUGAAGGCCUUAGGGUUGUAAAGCUCUUUCGCCUGUGAAGAUGAUGACUGUAGCAGGAGAAGAAGCCCCGGCUAAUUCCGUGCCAGCCGCCGCGGUAAUUC
rnacentral:rRNA from 1 species